rnacentral:rRNA from 1 species
UAGGGAAUAUUGGGCAAUGGGCGCAAGCCUGACCCAGCAACGCCGCGUGAGGGAAGAAGGUUUUCGGAUUGUAAACCUCUGUCCUAUGUGACGAAGGAAGUGACGGUAGCAUAGGAGGAAGCCCCGGCUAACUACGUGCCAGCAGCCGCGGUAAUACGUAGGGGGCGAGCGUUGUCCGGAAUUACUGGGCGUAAAGGGUGCGUAGGCGGUUUGGUAAGUUGGAUGUGAAAUACCCGGGCUUAACUUGGGGGCUGCAUCCAAUACUGCUGAACUUGAGUGCAGGAGAGGAAAGCGGAAUUCCUAGUGUAGCGGUGAAAUGCGUAGAUAUUAGGAGGAACACCGGUGGCGAAGGCGGCUUUCUGGACUGUAACUGACGCUGAGGCACGAAAGCGUGGGGAGCAAACAGGA